rnacentral:rRNA from 1 species
AACCCGACUCCACGAAGUUGGAUUCGCUAGUAAGCGCGCAUCAGCCAUGGCGCGGUGAAUACGUUCCCGGGCCUUGUACACACCGCCCGUCAAGCCAUGGGAGCCGGGGGCGCCUGAAGUCCGGGACCGCGAGGACCGGCCUAGGGCGAAACUGGUAACUGGGGCUAAGUCGUAACAAGGUAUC